rnacentral:lncRNA from 13 species
CUCCAGCUGGAGAGAAGGGCUCAGGUAGAAGUCCCGAGACAGUAGCUGCCUUGGAAUGCAAGGCACAGCAAAAAAGGCAGUGUGCAGCAGAUGGAGUGAGAGAGACGGAGCAGGGACGAGGAGACAGAAAGGCAGCAGGAGUCUGCACAGAAUGCUUUGGAUUCCCGAGAUCUGGCUUCCUCUGUGUGUUGUCACUGACUCCAGCCCAGCUGCUCACAGCACGGCCUGGGAGACGUUUCCCUUUGCAUUCAACGACACAGCUCAUUUUCAGCCGAGCUAUGGAAAGGCGUGGACGUCCUCCCUGCCGAUCCCGGCCAUCCUCCAUGAAUCACCAUCAUCCUCACAAUUCAGUCUAAAAGGCGAAUACUUUCAGACCUCGCCAACGAUCGCUCUGUUUCUGCUAACUGUCUGGUUUAGAUCAUGUAUUGCUUGGGAAUAUACGGAUUUCUCCUCAUUUACCAGUGAUAAAACUUAAAUAUGAAAAAUCAAAAUUUAGUAUUCCAAGAAAAUAAUCAUGGAUAUAAGCAAAGACUGCCAACUUGUUCAUCGUGACACUGUCUUCUGCAAUAGCAAUGAUAGUAAUAAAAAUUAGAAAAGCACUAAAUAUCCA